rnacentral:rRNA from 1 species
UACGUAGGGAGCAAGCGUUGUUCGGAUUACUGGGCGUAAAGGGCGCGUAGGCGGCAAUUCAAGUCAGCUGUGAAAUCUCCGGGCUUAACUCGGAACGGUCAGCUGAUACUGCUUUGCUAGAGUGCGGAAGGGGCAAUCGGAAUUCUCGGUGUAGCGGUGAAAUGCGUAGAUAUCGAGAGGAACACCUGAGGUGAAGACGGGUUGCUGGGCCGACACUGACGCUGACAGCGCGAAAGCCAGGGGAGCAAACGGG